UUAGGUGUAUUGCAUGGACCAGAAUGUGGUCUAUCUUGGUGAAUGUUCCAUAUGAGCUUAAGAAGAAUGAGUAUUCUGCUGUUGUGGAUUGAAGGAAUCUGUAAAUGCC